rnacentral:pre_miRNA from 7 species
UUCUUUAAGGAGUGAAAGAACCUAGUGGGGAAACCCACACUCAAUUCUCGAUUCGGCGCACACCCAAGAAUCACGAACAGACGA